rnacentral:lncRNA from 10 species
CCCAUUUAAAUAGCCCAGCUCUGGCUCCGACUCACCCUCUCUGCCCCUCUCCUUUCAUCUCAUCCCAUCCUGCUCCUGAACUUGCAGCUUGGGCUCCAUCAUAGGACAGGGUCCCUAGAAACAGAGUCUGAGACAAGGAUUAGGGCACAUGUGAUUAAUCAGGGGUGUGGUCCCAGGAGAAAGGGUAUGAAAGAAGCAGAAUUAGGCAAGGGCAGAGAGGAGCGAGGAUGCAGCCUCAGCCAGAUUCAGCCUGAUAUCACAGGGCACUCUGGAGCAUCAGCUGUGCCAGAGAGUUGGUCCCUCCUUGAGGCAAGGGGGCCAGCCUUUUGCACUCUCCUCCCCUCAUGUCAAUCAGUCAUUGGUUAUGGGCUUCCCAGGAAUGUGUAACCUUUCAGGGUAGGCAGCUUCCAUUCAGCCAGUGCAAUUCUCCAGAGAUGGGGGCAGCUGAGAGCCAUUACAGCUAACAUGCCCAGCAGCAAGGAGGGUUUGGGCAGAAUGUCAGCUACAGGCUCCUUGCCUUGCCCUUCAGAUUGAAUACUCAGUUCCGUUGUUUCCUUGGCAAUGGCCUGACUCCCUCCAUGAUCCCAGGGCUAAAUCACCUUUAUAUCCCUCUGACUGCUUAGCAAUGCCUCUCCAAGCUUGGGGGACCCUAAGGGCCUCCUACCCCUAGCACUGCUCCCAAGGGUACCCCUGCUCCCACAGGGCCCCUAGAGCAGGAGCCAACCAGAGAGAGCUGCCUUGCACCGGGAUGGAGCCUGGGGCUGUCUUGGACAAUGGCAGAGUCCCUGGCCUCCUGGUUUCCUCUGCCUCACUCCUCCCCAGUUCUGACUUUUGUCUGCUACUUUGGCAUUCAGCUUCCUGGGCAUCUGCCUCCUUCUGGUGUACAUAUUGGAGCCUCUUCUCAGAAUGGUCAAUUCUGUUGGCCUUUCCAGUUCCCCCACCCUGGAUUCUUCUCUAGACAGCUGAUGCCCUUUGACAAGAAUGGUUUAAGUUAAGUCUCUUGCCAGGUGCCAACUGCUUUUGAAGGCUUAGAUUCUGUCUUGUUUGAGGGCUUUGCUUAUUAGUUUAAGAGUGCCGGGCUGGGCGUGGUAGCUCACGCCUGUAAUCCCAGCACUUUGG